rnacentral:lncRNA from 1 species
GGUUUGAGCUUCCACUUGUGGUUUGCUGUGGCUAUGGAGGUGAGUACAACUAUGGCAAUGAUGCCAGCUGUGGUAGUACCAUUACUGUUAAUGGUAGCCAAAUUUUUGUGGGAUCAUGUGAGCGCCCUUCACUUCGAGUGAAUUGGGAUGGAGUUCACUACACUGAGGCAGCUAACAAAUUUGUUUUUGAUCAAAUCUCCAGUGGAGCAUUUUCAGAUCCGCCUCUGCCCUUAAAAAUGGCAUGUCAUAGGAACGCUUCAUAUUGAAGGCAGACCAACGUGCACUUCUGUUGGUAUUAUCAUUAAUGUAUGCUCCUGGUUCUGGGUAAUAAGUAAUAAGCAUCAUGCAUUGAUCAAAGGGUAGCCUAAAAUGUACCUUUCUUGUAUGUAAUAAGCAUCAUGCAUUGAUCAAAGGGUAGCCUAAAAUGUACCCUUCUUGUAUGUAAUAAGCAUCUAACUCAACAGAGUUAGUGUACUCAUGCUCUCUAAUAUAUUUGGCAAAGCCCAUGUCCUUUAUUGCAGAACCUGCACUUCAUUUGUUAAAUUAUUAUUGUUUCACAGACAUGAAUAAGCCUGUUUUAAAAGGAAAUUGAGAGCAAAAAUGAAAAUAAAAAUAAAAAUGGGGCUGUGUAGAAAGGUGGGUGACGUGGGUCUAAUUUAAUAGUGACUUGAAAAUAUCCGAAGUAUGAUUCUUUGAAGAUUGAAGAAUCUUCAUAGGGUGUUUACUUCAAAAUUACACCUACCUUAAAAGUUUCCUUGAAUUGAAUUUAGCACAAUAGACACUCAUCAAUUAAACCAACCAAGAUAUUGUUUUGAUACAUUUUUGGUUGUCUAUUUUUAAAAAUAUAAAAAUAAUAAUAAUAAUAACUUUUAUCCAAAAAUGAUACUGAAAAAAAAAAACUUUAAAAUUUAAAAAUGAAAGAUAAAUUCAUACAUUUUAUAUAAUAUUUACUAAUUUUUUUAUUAUUUUUAUUUUAAAAAUAGAAAAUAUAGAAUGAAUAUUGUAAUUAACACUAAAUUUUAAUAUUUUUGAUAUGCAUUAUGGGGAAAUGGACAUUGAUCAUUUUCUAGAAUGUAGAAUUUUUAUUUGCAUAAUGAAGCAUAAGUUUUUGUUUGUAUGUUAGCCAAUACCUUACUUGUGGUGGAAAAGCCAAAGACACACAUGACAAAUUUCUAUGAAACGUUAUCUUCCAAGUUGCGGGUCCAAAUAUGCAUGCUGUGUCGUGUCGAGAAGAAUUAGCCAGGAGGCAACAUGUGAGCUCCUACAAAGUCAAGGCCUCCAUGAACGUGUUUGGAAUUUAUUUUCUCUAAUAUUAUAUAUAAAUUCAAAUUUUAGAUCUGACAAAAUCUUCAAGCUCGUGAAAGAAACUAAUAAAAACGAAUAUGAGACUAGAGUUAACUGCAAGGCUUUUAAGGUCAUGUUUGUCUGAUUUCAUGCAGCCUUAUCUUACUGCAAAGAUCACACGUAAGUUUGAAGAAAUUUUUGUAACUGAGCUUAAAUAUCACCGAGUCCUAGAAAUUAAAUUCAGUGGAAAAGUCCACCUUGUCACAGUAUACAAAUUUUUGUUCUCCCUUUUUGGAUAAUUACCCUUACAGGUAGGCUAGAAAAAAUAUGAUUGAUAAGGAUGGGUAUAUUUAAUAAUUCUUCUUAAGGGUAGGGUGAAAUUAAGAUAAUUUUUCUAAAGACCUUAUUUUUUUUGAAUGUCAAUACUACCCUUAAUAAGUGAAAAUCAACAGCAAAAUGUAAGAUUUUUGUCGAUAUUGAAGAAGAAAAAAAUCCAACACUUCAGGUUAUGAUCUGAAACCCUUUUCACAAAGCUUGUAUUUUUGUGUGAAUCUAGUAAGAAAUCCAUUAAAGGUAAGAUUUUUUUAUAAAAAAAAAAAAGCUGAAAAAAACAAAAAUACGUCAGUUUAUGCAAAUAAAUAAAUAAAUAAAUAAGUAAUUUAAAAUUUGGAUUGAAGGAACGAACUGUUAAUAAUUUUAACAAUGUAGAUCUAAAAUAUUAUAUCUGAAAUAUUGAAUGAGGUUUUGAGAAAGAAAUUACAUUUUUUGUGUUGAAUUUUUUUAUUUUAUUUUGGUCAUAUUGAAGAUGUGUUUUUAUUUUUAAUUUAUUUUUUGGGUGAGUUAUUUGAUAUGAUUAUUAUUGAUUUCCAUUAAAAAUGUUUGCACUUUAGUUUUGUUGUUGAGACUUGCUUGACAUGAGAGAAGAAAAAAAUUUCUCAAUUGUUUCAUGCUUUUUUGGAACCACUUUGUUUGAGUAUUUAUGAACAUAUUUGGAUUUUUAUUGAAAACUGAAAAUUAUAAUCAAUUGAGACAUAUUUUAUAUAAUAAAGAACAAUAUUUUUUGUAUAUUAGACAUGUAUAUGCCAAAAAACUCAUAAUUGCCCUAUUUUUAUAUAAAAAAUUAAUUUUAUAGAUUUUUUUUAUACAUCGACAACUUUAUGUAUUGAAAUUACAAUAGUGUAUUUUUGUUAUCUUUUUAUAAUUUUGGCUUGCAAAGAUGCUUUAUGAUAGGAAUACAACAUGAUAGCCUAGAAAUGCUAGUUUAGUAAAAAACGAAUUCAAUAUUUUGUCAUUUUGGUAUAUUAUAAUGUAUCGUAAUGUUAAUAUUUUUUUCAUUAUAACUAUAUUGCAUUUGUAUUGUAAUUAUACUUUAUAAUUGUCAGGAGAGAAGGAGAGAAGAUGUACUUCUCAAUUGGUAAAUGGACUUGAAAAAUUCAGGGUAAAUUGGUCUAAUAAAAAUGUAAGACCUUCAUAAGAAUUAUCAAACCUACCAACGUUUUUCAGUAAUUUUUUUCCCCAAUCGGGUAAUUUUCCCUUCCCUUUUCUUCUUGUUUUCAAAAAACCAACCAUAGGUUAUGAAAAUUUGUUUUUUUCUAGUUUUGGGUUUACCGCUGAAGAAAGAGUCUUUGGAUUUUCUAUAAUUACAAACCGAUAGCAAACCCAGAACCAGUCAAUUUGAUUUGUCAAGAAGCGAUAUGGUAUGGAAAUGAGUUUAUUUAUGGAAUAUUUGUAUUUUGGAGGUGUGGCAAUAAGAUGUAUGUUUGAUGCAGCUGUGGUUCUUGUGGGUACGAACUAAAGCUUUGCGAUCCUCUAAUCGGAACACAAAGAAUAUAGGCUCCAAAUAUGGGAAAAACAUAAAACGCGGCGUCAUAUCAUUUCUCCAAGUUGAUGAGAGUGGCUUUACCCUGGUUGAUGAGUUCAAAUGUAUACCCUACUUCAUCUCCAGGCACUCUUGGGGUUUGUUCUGCCACAGAACCACUUCUUUGCCGUAAGUGUGGCAACCAUGUUGGCAAUGCUUAUGUCAGGAAGUCUCCUUACCCACUUGUGUUCGAUGAAUCGGAUUCUGCCCCAGCCACAGCCACCACUGACAUCUCCACUUGUAGAAAAUAUGACAUUCGACUCCGUGCCCUGCAGCCCUCAUCUUCUGAGCCCUCUGCCAUUCCGCUUCUCACCUGAUCUGCAGAAUCAAACCAAGAAUAUUCUUAUGAGAGGGACUGUAUAGCAAUUGAGUCCUUUGUUUUGGUCUUGGCUUUUUGCUCUUUUGUAUUACUAGAUAGAUGGUGAGUCAGUGACUUGUAAAUAUCAGUUUCCAAGACUGGAUUAUCGAAGUUUUUUAUACUUCCAGUAACUUACAAAUAACACGGUCGAUGUAAUUUCUUGUUCUCACUGUUCUCUGUUAGCCAUGACCAUAAUCACAACAUAUCCUUCUAACUAUGAUCCACAUAUCCUCUUUCCUAUUCAAUUUGGAAACUGGAAAAGUUCAAAAUUCAACGAACUUUCCUUCGCCACGCCCACAGUUUAGGUCAUUGGAUUAGGCAUGCGGACGUGGGCGUUGAGUAUGCUUUUGCGCGCGAGUGUCUUGCUACCUUAGACACGAACCCCUCCUCUUCCACUCAUUUUGUUGCGGAAGGAGGCCAGGCCAUUCUUAUUCAAACAAAUUAGCUGGGAACUUUGAAAUCUUAAACCGUCGUAGAUAUGUGAUAAACUAGUACACCUUGUAUGAGAUAAUCUAAUCCUGAUUAUUGCUAACAUUGUCAAUUUUAAUCAGCUCCGGCCUGUAUGUUGUUGGACCAGUUGCCCACAAACAUGUAGUUCACAUGGAAGUGGGUCCUGAGGUCAGUACCUGUUACAUCUCCAACCACAAAAGAAUUAACUAAAGAUCAAAUGUGCAAUACGAGUACAAUCAGUAAUGGGGCAGUGCACUGACUCAAUUAAAUUAUAUGGUUUGACCAUUAAACACUUUGAAUUUCUUCAUCACGUAAUCCAAAAGUCUACGUCCUCCUCCUCCUCCUCCCUCUCUCUCUCUCUCUCUCUCUCUCUCUCCAUGGAGUCUCCCAGCACCACCAGACUUGCCACUUCUCUCUGCUGUAUUUGCGUGCUUUUAUCUUUUACUACCACAGUGAUCAACCCUGUUGUUGCUUUGGAAAAUUGCAAAUUUCCAGCAAUCUUUAACUUAGGAGCCUCCAGUUCAGACACAGGUGGAUAUGCUGCUGCCUUCUCUCAACCUCCCUGGCCUUAUGGGAGGACCUUUUUCCGCAUGCCAGCAGGCAGAUUCUCAGAUGGUCGCCUCAUGAUUGAUUUCAUUGGUACCAUUUACCUUCUCUUUAAACCUAUUUUCUGCAUAUCUACCUCUCAUUGGCCAAGAGCCAGUGUUUAUAAAAUCGGUACAGGGGACAAGAAAAGCCAAAUUCAGACAUUCAUUUUUAAUUUCAUUUUCCAUCAAAAUUAGAAAAAGGGCUAGGAAAUGCACUGGUUUAGUCUAGGACUAACCGAAACUUGGCAGCAUUAUUGACUUGGGCAAAAUUUACAUGGUUUCAGCCAACAGUUUUGGUCUACCAUUUCUCAGUGCUUAUCUUAAUUCUCUGGGGUCCAAUUACACAAAUGGUGCAAACUUUGCCACGGCUGCUUCUACAAUCCGACUACCGACUAGCAUAAUACCUGCAGGUGGGUUCAGUCCAUUCUACCUGGACUUGCAAUACGAUCAGUUUGUGCAAUUCAAGUCCAGAACACUAAAGAUAAGGAAACGAGGUAAAUGAUAAUUUAACAUUAAUAGACGUUUUGUAGUGCAUAGCUAUAUAAAUGAUAUUUUUCUAAGUGGCUUUUAAUGAUUUUUAGGUGGGGUGUACAAGGACUUAAUGCCCAAGGAGGAGUAUUUUCCCAAAGCUCUAUACACGUUGGACAUCGGUCAGAAUGAUCUUGGUGAAGGGUUCUUUGCUAACAAGUCAAUCCAGGAAGUCAAUGCAACUGUCCCUGAUAUAAUCAAUGGUUUCUCCACCAAUGUCAGGGUAAUCCUUAGAUUAGGGACUUCGAUUUAAUGUAUGUUUUGAAGCAUUUCCUUUCUGGGUCUCGUUUUUUCAUAGCUUUUUUCUCUCUGUCACAACUUAUUGCAUAGUACUGAGACUAUGUACAUGAAUGAAUCACAUGAUGAUGCAGCGUAUUUACAAGUCGGGAGCAAGAUCAUUCUGGAUUCACAACACAGGACCCAUCGGCUGCCUCGCCUAUAUCUUGGCCAAUUUUCAGGCAGCUCAAAGGGACAGCGCCGGUUGUUCAAAGCCUCACAAUGAAGUGGCUCAGUACUUCAACUACAAGUUGAAGGAGGCUGUUGCCCAACUCCGGAAGGACUUUCCUUUAGCUGCAAUUACAUAUGUCGAUGUCUACUCUGUCAAGUAUUCCCUCUUUAGCCAACCCAAGAAAUAUGGUAAGCCAUAUGAUGAUAUAUAUAUAUAGGAAAAUAGUAGCUCGUGUCAUUUAACUUUAACUCAUUUAUGCAUCAUGUUGUUAACAAAUGAUGCUUUUCUCAUAAUCUGCAGGGUUUGAGCUUCCACUUGUGGUUUGCUGUGGCUAUGGAGGUGAGUACAACUACAGCAAUGAUGCUGGCUGUGGUAGUACCAUCACUGUUAAUGGUAGCCAAAUUUUUGUGGGAUCAUGUGAGCGCCCUUCACUUCGAGUGAAUUGGGAUGGAGUUCACUACACUGAGGCAGCUAACAAAUUUGUUUUUGAUCAAAUCUCCAGUGGAGCAUUUUCAGAUCCGCCUCUGCCCUUAAAAAUGGCAUGUCAUAGGAACGCUUCAUAUUAAUGUAUGCUCCUGGUUCUGGGUAAUAAGUAAUAAGCAUCAUGCAUUGAUCAAAGGGUAGCCUAAAAUGUACCUUUCUUGUAUGUAAUAAGCAUCAUGCACUGAUCAAAGGGUAGCCUAAAAUGUACCCUUCUUGUAUGUAAUAAGCAUCUAACUCAACAGAGUUAGUGUACUCAUGCUCUCUAAUAUAUUUGGCAAAGCCCAUGUUUUUUAUUGCAGAACCUGCACUUUAUUUGUUAAAUUAUUAUUGUCUCACAGACAUGAAUAAG